GACGAACGCUGGCGGCGUGCCUAAUACAUGCAAGUCGAGCGGACUUAAAAAGCUUGCUUUUUAAGUUAGCGGCGGACGGGUGAGUAACACGUGGGCAACCUGCCUGUAAGACUGGGAUAACUUCGGGAAACCGGAGCUAAUACCGGAUAAUCCUUUUCUACUCAUGUAGAAAAGCUGAAAGACGGUUUACGCUGUCACUUACAGAUGGGCCCGCGGCGCAUUAGCUAGUUGGUGAGGUAACGGCUCACCAAGGCGACGAUGCGUAGCCGACCUGAGAGGGCGAUCGGCCACACUGGGACUGAGACACGGCCCAGACUCCUACGGGAGGCAGCAGUAGGGAAUCUUCCGCAAUGGACGAAAGUCUGACGGAGCAACGCCGCGUGAGUGAUGAAGGUUUUCGGAUCGUAAAACUCUGUUGUUAGGGAAGAACAAGUACGAGAGUAACUGCUCGUACCUUGACGGUACCUAAACAGAAAGCCACGGCUAACUACGUG
rnacentral:rRNA from 1 species